rnacentral:tRNA from 1 species
GGAGCGUACAGCUCAGUGGUAGAGCGUGUGCUUAGCAUGCACAAGGUCCUGGUUCAAUCCUCAGUACCUCCA